GAUGAAGAACGCAGCGAAAUGCGAUAAGUAAUGUGAAUUGCAGAAUUCAGUGAAUCAUCGAAUCUUUGAACGCACAUUGCGCCCGCCAGUAUUCUGGCGGGCAUGCCUGUCUGAGCGUCAUUUCAACCCUCAAGCAACUUCUGCUUGGUGUUGGGGAUCGGCCGUCAAACGCCGCCCCCGAAAUCUAUUGGCGAUCUCGCUGUAGCUUCCUAUGCGUAGUAGUAACAUCUCGCAUCUGGAGAGCGGCGCGGUCAUGCCGUAAAACCCCCAACUUCUCAGGUUGACCUCAGAUCAGGUAGGAAUACCCGCUGAACUUAAGCAUAUCAAUAAGCGGAGGA
rnacentral:misc_RNA from 1 species